CCUGAACGCUGGCGGCGUGGCUAAGACAUGCAAGUCGCACGGUGUAGCAAUACACAGUGGCGAACGGGUGAGUAAUGAAUCGCUAAUGUACCCCGGACUCUGGGAUAGCUAGCCGAAAGGUUAGGUAAUACCAGAUGAUAUAUCUUUAUCGCAUGAUAGAGAUCUCAAAGGUCCGCCGGUCUGGGAGCAGGCGAUUUCGUAUCAGCUAGUUGGUGAGGUAACGGCUCACCAAGGCGACGACGCGUAGCCGGACUGAGAGGUUGGCCGGCCACAUUGGGACUGAGACACUGCCCAGACUCCUACGGGGGGCUGCAGUAACGAAUCUUCCGCAAUGCACGAAAGUGUGACGGAGCGACGCCGCGUGUGGGACGAAGCCCUUCGGGGUGGUAACCAACUGUCAGGGGAUAGAAAGUUCUGAUCACUCCCCAGAGGAAGGC
rnacentral:rRNA from 1 species